rnacentral:sRNA from 1 species
UUUUUUCUUCUUCUUUUUGUUUU